rnacentral:rRNA from 1 species
GACGAACGCUGGCGGCGUGCCUAACACAUGCCAGUCGAACGGAAAGGCCCUGCGUUUGUGCGCUGCUCGAGUGCCGAACGCGGGAGUAACACGUGUGUAACCUGCUCUUGACUUUCGGAUAACUUCACGAAACUGGGCCUAAUACCGUAUAGCAGAUCCUGCAGCAUGGUGGGUAUUGGAAAGUUUCGGCUUUUCGGGAUGGAUGUGCGGCUUAUCAGUUUGUUGGUGGGCUAGUGGCUUACCAAGGCUUUGAAGGGUAGCCGACAUGGGAGGGUGACCGGGCACAAUGGGCCUGCGGUACGGCCCAGAGUGCAAUGGGGGGCAGUGGUGGGAAGUCUUGCACACUGGGCGGAAGUCGGAGGCAGCGACGUCGGGUGCGGAAAGACGGUUUGUGGGGUAUAAACCGCAUUAGCCUGUGACGAAGCGUGAGUGACGGUAACGGGUAAAGAAGCACCGGCUAACUACGUG